AUGCAAGUCGAGGGGUAUAGUAGCAAUACUAGAGACCGGCGCACGGGUGCGUAACGCGUAUGCAAUCUACCUUUUACAGAGGGAUAGCCCAGAGAAAUUUGGAUUAAUACCUCAUAGUAUAGCGACCUGGCAUCAGGAUUCUAUUAAAGUCACAACGGUAAAAGAUGAGCAUGCGUCCCAUUAGCUAGUUGGUAAGGUAACGGCUUACCAAGGCGACGAUGGGUAGGGGUCCUGAGAGGGAGAUCCCCCACACUGGUACUGAGACACGGACCAGACUCCUACGGGAGGCAGCAGUGAGGAAUAUUGGACAAUGGGCGCAAGCCUGAUCCAGCCAUGCCGCGUGCAGGAUGACGGUCCUAUGGAUUGUAAACUGCUUUUGUACAGGAAGAAACCCUUUCACGUGUGAAAGAUUGACGGUACUGUAAGAAUAAGGAUCGGCUAACUCCGUGCCAGCAGCCGCGGUAAUACGGAGGAUCCAAGCGUUAUCCGGAAUCAUUGGGUUUAAAGGGUCCGUAGGCGGCCAGAUAAGUCAGUGGUGAAAGCCCAUCGCUCAACGGUGGAGCGGCCAUUGAUACUGUCUGGCUUGAAUUACAAGGAAGUAACUAGAAUAUGUAGUGUAGCGGUGAAAUGCUUAGAGAUUACAUGGAAUACCAAUUGCGAAGGCAGGUUACUACUUGUGGAUUGACGCUGAUGGACGAAAGCGUGGGUAGCGAACAGGAUUAGAUACCCUGGUAGUCCACGCCGUAAACGAUGGAUACUAGCUGUUGGGAGCAAUCUCAGUGGCUAAGCGAAAGUGAUAAGUAUCCCACCUGGGGAGUACGGGCGCAAGCCUGAAACUCAAAGGAAUUGACGGGGGCCCGCACAAGCGGUGGAGCAUGUGGUUUAAUUCGAUGAUACGCGAGGAACCUUACCAAGGCUUAAAUGUAGAUUGACCGUUUUG
rnacentral:rRNA from 1 species